ensembl:ncRNA lncRNA:CR44216 long non-coding RNA:CR44216
UCGUAUGAAAAUGGCCAGCUGAGAGUUCCCGGACGGGAACGGUGCCAAACAAAGCACAAGGAAAUGGAAAAUCGCCGGGAAGGUCAGCAACCUGAAUCCGCGGGAGAGAUCUCGCUUUUGCCUAUUAAUCAACAAGUGUGACAUGUCCAGGCAGGCGCGGCUCACACUUUAUGAAUCGACGGCAUUCCAAGCAAGCGAAUAACGCACAUGACUUUUCGAGUCACGCAAAAGUUUUGUCCAACUCAGAGUCAUUGAACGUCCAUGGCGGAAAUCACAGAGAGUUCGAUAAAAAACGGAAGUCGUCGCAUUGUAAAGGAUAGCAAGUAAAAGUAUCUUAUGGACAGAUUGCAUGCCAGCAAACUGCUGCGAACAAAAUAUUCCCUGUCCAGGAGUGAGAAAUGAGGAUUGGGCGAUCGGACGAUGGACGAUGGACGAUGGAGCUACGAGGUUUGCGUGCCAAACUUUUGCAGCUAAAUUAAAUUAUUAAAGAGUCUGCCGGGCCAAAAGGUGGGAGCUUAAAAAAUUCAUUGACUGCUUUCACACGCCACAAGG